rnacentral:misc_RNA from 1 species
UCGGCCGUCAUGGCGCUGCAG